rnacentral:rRNA from 1 species
CUUACGGGUGGCUGCAGUGGGGAAUUUUGGACAAUGGGGGCAACCCUGAUCCAGCCAUUCCGCGUGAGUGAAGAAGGCCUUCGGGUUGUAAAGCUCUUUUGUCCGGAGCGAAACGGGCGGCCCUAAUACGGUCGUCUACUGACGGUACCGGAAGAAUAAGCACCGGCUAACUACGUGCCAGCAGCCGCGGUAAUACGUAGGGUGCGAGCGUUACUCGGAGUUACUGCGCGUAGUGCGUGCGCAGGCGGUUGAAAUCCCCGGGCUCAACCUGGGAAUGGCAUUUGGGACUGCAAGGCUGGAGUGUGGCAGAGGGGACUAGAAUUCCUGGUGUAGCAGUGAAAUGCGUAGAUAUCAGGAGGAAUACCGAUGGCGAAGGCAGGUCCCUGGGUUAACACUGACGCUCAUGCACGAAAGCGUGGGGAGCAAACAGGAUUAGAUACCCUAGUAGUC